GGGAAGAGACAAAUCCCAGGAAGAUCAGGACUGCCACAUCCUGCAGGUUCUAGGGGUUCCAGGUCUGAAACAGAUUGCUGCCCUUUGUGCCACUGAUCACAAAGGGAAAAGGCCAUGCAUGAAGGUGCCCAGGAUUUAGGAGACACUUUCAUCCUGCCCCUCUGACCCCUCUGCAGUCCUUCCCAGGGUGGCCCUGAGGGACAGCACCGUACCUCCAAGGGGCCUACACUGUCCAUGGAGGAGCAUCUGGAGCUACAUUUUGACUCAUGGGCAGUGACCAGUGGGCUGGCUGACUGAUCUAGGACCCGGUGAGAAUGACAUUGAAAGACUGAUGACAAAAAAGGCCUCGGAAAGAGGCAUCUGCUGGACCUCAAAAGACAAGUUCAGCAUAUAAGGAUGUAUGUGUCACCCUUAAAUGCCACUGGAAGGCAAGCACUGAGGAUAAAAGGUGACUUGUUCCAAAGAGGCCAGUCAGUCAUCUCCGAAGGCUACUGCUUGUUGCUGGCCACACUCUUCCACUGAUACCUCAUCUCCUGCGGGCGACCCUCUCCUCCAGUCACAGCUCCGGUUCACUUUCAACCCUGAGCGGUGUGUGUCCAGAGAUCAGCAUCAGGACCCUGGAACGUGCCAUCACCCCAGACAUCCCCGCUUCCCUCUGGAGUCACACCUCCCCUAGUCUUCUCCAUCCAGACUUUUCCAUACAAACGAAAGAGACCCGAGACAUGGGAUUAAAAAGGCUCUGGCAAUCAUGGAAAACA